GGUUGUAGCUCAGUGGUUGAGCACUCGCCUCGCAUGUAUGAGGCCCUGGGUUUGAUCCUCAGCACCA
rnacentral:tRNA from 1 species